rnacentral:rRNA from 1 species
AUUGAACGCUGGCGGCAGGCCUAACACAUGCAAGUCGAGCGGAGCGGCGGACGGGUGAGUAAUGCCUAUGAAUCAGACUGGUAGUGGGGGAUCACGUCCGGAGGCGGGCGCUAAUACAGAAUACUAACAGAUGAGUCUGGGUCGGGUUAGCUAGUUGGUGGGGUAAGGGCCUACCAAGGUGACGAUCCGUAGCUGGUCUGAGAGGAUGAUCAGUCACACUGGAACUGAGACACGGUCCAGACUCCUACGGGAGGCAGCAGUGGGGAAUAUUGGACAAUGGGCGAAAGCCUGAUCCAGCCAUGCCGCGUGUGUGAAGAAGGUCUUCGGAUUGUAAAGCACUUUAAGUUGGGAGGCGUUACCAACAGAAUAAGCACCGGCUAACUUCGUGCCAGCAGCCGCGGUAAUAC